rnacentral:misc_RNA from 1 species
UUGACUUAUUUAUUUAUUGCUCAGAUAUCACUAAAAUAUAGAGUUUAAAACCUCCGGCAGGCACCUGAAAACAGGCUACAGACCCACCCUGGGCCUGCCUACCGAAGCAACUUAGGUAUGUUCACAAAGGGUUGGGAGUUUUGCAACUCUGUAAUGAUCCCUCCGCUGGUUCACCAACGGAGA